CGACCGUGAAACAACACUCGUGAUCGUAGAUGACGUGAAUGACUUGCAUUUAUUUCGCUUUGAUGAUCAAGCACGUUAGCAGCUACUUACCGAGGUUUUUACCUUUGAAACCGUUCGCGCACCUUUGAACCAAUACGUCCGUAAAUUGAUGGUAAACUAAAAAUGUUGGAGGGAUUCACGUAUAAAAAAUGACAAUCAUUAGAUUUACACUACAUAUUUAUGAGUUAAUUAUGUAAGGAUUGAGAAAUGAGGAGGUUAUAGGUUGAAGUUUUUAAGAGUUUGAAAUUGGGAAAAUGAGAGACCACGUUUAUUUUGAGACAAUAUAUUUAUUUCUUAUUAAUAUGGAGUUUUCAACAAUAACAGUAUAAUAGUAGGCGUAACAAGAGAGACGAGGUAGGUUACGAGGAACCUAACCUAAUACCGUACGCCAACAAGUCACCGCCGUAACAGAAUGUCUGUGAUUUAUUAUACGACUACUUCGUGUAAUAUUCUACUUUAUGAUUUUACAAUACUUAUUUCGUUUCCUUAAAGUUGCAUUGCGUUUAAGUUAUAAUUUAUGCAACUUUAAUGCAACGUAAGUAGCAAUUGAUCUAUCAAAUUAAAGACCUUUUUAAAGUAAUGGUUAGUUCUUGAUAAGUAUUUAUGAGUUAGAUCUUAUUAGUUUUUACUCGUAUUAGCAAACCGAAAGGGUAGUACAGAAGUACCUAUAUUGAGCCUCAAGAAUUUUUUUAGCAUUGCAUUCUAUGCAGUUGAGAAGUUUACUAUUAAAUCUCCACAAUGUACAAAGUUCCAUUG